UUUUACACCCGUUGCACUAUUUUUUUUUUUUUUAGAUUUCGUUUCCGGGUAAUAAUGUCAAAUCGUUGUACCUCUUCCAACCAAGUCACGUAUAGUGUCUUCAAUAAGUUCUACCACAAAAAACAUUUACCUCCUUGUGAGUUUUGAACCAGGGCUCUCAGAUUUCCUCAGCUCAAAACUACGAUCGCCCGUACUGCCGUAUAAGGCAUAACGCCCACGCAAAUAUGGCCCGACCAAUCAGCACUGGAUCACGUAUUAUGGUUGAUUCGGCGAACUUCAAAGGAAGUGUACGAAUUUUCCCCGCCAAAAAGCUUGAUCAAAGACAACGAAAAUUUUGACGAUUUCCAUACAAAAUAAUGUCUUUCUCUGUUCAAUGAUCUGGUGGUCCCCGAACAAAAUGAAAAUUCAGCACUCACAUUUUAUCACAAAUUUCAACUCAGAAAACCUUUUUAUUUUCAGGCACCUUUUGGGUUUUUUUUUAAUCUCUUCCGAUCAUCAAUGAGAUUUUCAUGUCUACAGGAGUUCGAAAAAAAAAAAAAAUUCUUGAAGUUUUUGUUUUGUCUUUGUUUUUAAAAAUACUUUGAAGAAAUGCGUCCUUAACGCCGACGUCAAACGAUGUUCUGAAAUCUAAACCUAAUUUCUCUUCCUCUCACACAACUGCGUUCGUUUCCGCUCUAAUUUUCCAAUAAACAGGUCUACUGGCCGAAAUACCAACAAACUUGUGUUUAAAAAAUAUGUUAAACAAGUGACUGUUACAGACGAAUAUCACCGCUAGAUCUUGCUUAUUUCCAGUUGUAUUUCAUUUUCACAUUGCCAAAAUUAUUGAAUAACACACACGACAUAACAAAUAAGUUGUAAUACAAAUAAAUCCCAUUUUGGCGAAGGUAAAGAAUACGCACACCCAGUGUUUAGGGUCAUGGUUUUUGUUACACCGAAAACGGGUGGUGGUGCGUAUUCUUUACCUUCGCCCUCAUUUUGACAUAGCAACUCUUCUCAACGAACGAGGGAACGUCUAUAGUAGCUCAACCUGCUAGAAAUAACAACCAAAUCAUACUCUGUCUAUAAAAGAGAACACGUCGAAUCACGCAGUCCUGCUUACAAUAUUUGAAAAUAAAAUAGGAUGAUCAGAAGUCUACUCAAUCAAGGGUAACCUUGGGCUAAACAAUUGCCAAUUUUGCUUUCCUUAUUUCAUAGCAGAAAAUAUUUUAACAUUUCAAUAACGGUUUCCUUUUUAUUAUUUGUUUAAUUAUGAAUAUCUUUUAGGAAAAGGAGAAAAACAAACAGAAACUGUAGCACAAUUUCAGUUGUAGCAGAAGCGUGUUCACUCUUUACCUUUAGCUAUCCGCAUUUAUGCCUCUUUACCUUUAGGUAGCCGUUUUGGUUCAUCACAUGACGGUCCCGUCCACCUAGCUUUAUGCAGGCUAUCCACCCCUUAACGUGAUCGACUAGUCAAGCGUCCCAACAUUAGCUAUUUAGGGGAAGCUUUUCCCCACUACUUUCUUAGAGAGGUCAAUUGCAACAAGUGAGUUUGGAUCUUUGGCAUGAGAGCAGUUUUAUUCCACUUUGCUGCUUCAGUGAGGAGAGGAUUGUAGCAGGAUUCCUUGAUGCCAUGCCUGGUGUUUUUUCCAACGUUCAUCUUCAAGAAGCACUUUGAAAUUACAGAUUUAUUUAUGUUAUACCAGUUGCUGUAUUUCCGUUUAGCUUUGGAAUAAAUGUUGCAGUCAAUUUUA